GACAGAGGGGGCAAGCGUUGCUCGGAAUUACUGGGCGUAAAGGGCGCGUAGGCGGGAUGGCAAGUCGGUCGUGAAAUCCCUCAGCUUAACUGGGGAACUGCGUCUGAUACUGGAUGGCUUGAGUUUGGGAGAGGGAUGCGGAAUUCCAGGUGUAGCGGUGAAAUGCGUAGAUAUCUGGAGGAACAUCCGAGGCGAAGGCGG
rnacentral:rRNA from 1 species